GAGAAAAGGAGAGGCAAGGGAGGAGGACCGCCGGCAACGGCAGAACGCCGCUACUGGAGGAAAGGCUGGAAAAGACGAUUAGGGUUUUUUUUUUUUGAGAGAGUUUCGUAUCUAGAUCAGUUGAAGAUAAGUUGGAAUCCACUGUAUUCGUCUGUGUCUGCAAUUAGAGGCGUAACUUUUGGUUCCAGCACAAUCGUCGCAAUUCGCCGCCAUUAGAGAGACUGAGGUGCAGUCGGUGUGACGAUUCCAUUUGUUGGUUUUGAUCAGGUUCUUUCACCUUCUUUCGAUCAAUCGGAAUGAGGUUAGCUUAGCUCCUCUUCAAACCAUCGUUGUCGAUUUUCAUGGCCAAAUAAGAGGAGAUCGAGAAGAACAAGUGGGAGGUUUGGAGAAGGAUUUAAGCUCAGCUUUGUUGUGUCGAAGAAGAGACCGGGCGAUUGGAUCUUCACACUAUGUUUCUUUGUUGAGGAAAGAAGUCGAAAAAGAUUUAACAGCUCCCGUUGGGAAAAAAACACCUCCUGGAAGACAAAAGAAGAGACACAAAA